rnacentral:lncRNA from 1 species
GUGGUUUCGAACGUUCUCACUUUAGUACCAUAGAGUUUAAAAUGUAUCAAGUUAGUGUUCUGUCGUUUUAUGUUUAUUUUUUCAUCAGAUUUUUCGUUAAUAUUUCGUUAAAUUAUAUACACAAAACUUUAGAUAGCCUAUCUAGGUUUAUCAAAUAUUCAUUUUAGUAUCUUUUAGUUUUAACUUUGUCCCUGAUUCAAUAAAAAAAUUAGUAAAAUCGAUAAUAAAAGGAUAAAAAUAAAAUCAUAUGAUACUAAAUUGAUACACUUUAAAUUAUAGGGUACUAAAGUGUGAAAGUAUGAAAUCACUGAGAUGGUAUUUGAAGUUUUUCCUAAUAAAUUUACACUGUUAUAUGAACCUUAUAAUUUAAAAUUUGUUAUAUAUAUAAGAUACAAUAGGACUAAAUUUUUCAGAAUAUUUUGAGCGGUGUUUAUAUAUAGUUUUAAAAUUGUUGAUCACCUCAUGAAAUUCUUUUUAGUAAAAUUUAAUAUGUGACUUGUUAAAGGUGCCUCGAAAUUUGAUUUAUCAACAGAUUCGUCAUGCGGAAAAUUUUUUGGAAAAAUGAAUUGCGAACUAAAAAAUAAAUGUCUGUGCUGCACGGAUCUGAUUUGAUAAUGAAGAACUCGUUAAGAAAUUUUCUCCUCCUCUUUUGUCCUAAAGGCGAUGCAGCAUAUUGUAUCUACAAAUAAUUUUUUACGUAAAUUUUUAUAUUUAUUUUAUUUUUUAUUUAUGGUUUGUCUAUUUUACGUUCACCAUUUUUUGUUUUCGUUUGUGCGCCUGUUGUUACCCGACUGGUAUACAAAAUUAUUUACAAUGAAACUUAUAAGUAUGCAAAAAAUAUAAUAU